GACGAACGCUGGCGGCGUGCUUAACACAUGCAAGUGGAGCGACGAACCAGGGCUUGCCCUGGGGCAGAGCCGCGAACGGGUGAGUAACACGUGGGUGACCUGCCCCGAUGAUUGGGACAACCCGAGGAAACUCGGGCUAAUACCAAAUGUGCUCAUGGACUUAGAAGACCAUGAGGAAAGGAAGCUUCGGCCUCCGCAUCGGGAUGGGCCCGCGGCCCAUUAGCUUGUUGGUGAGGUAACGGCUCACCAAGGCUUCGAUGGGUAGCUGGUCUGAGAG
rnacentral:rRNA from 1 species